rnacentral:misc_RNA from 1 species
CCGAGUGAGGGCCCCCGGCCCGACCUCCAACCCUUUGUUGACCAACACCUGUUGCCUCGGGGGCGACCCGGCCUCCGCGCCGGGGUCCUGGUGGACCAUUCCAACUCUGUGUCUGUACGUCGGAGUACUUAGCGAAUCAAUCA